UGAUCGAGUUCGCCGAGUGGCCGAGCGAGACAGAAGAGCUCCUUGGCACUGGAUGCCUCCGGGUCUGGUUGAGAGAGGAAUGGUUAGGAGACUGUUCUGAGGAUACGCAGACAUCAUCCAAAGCUUCCUACAUUCAGAUGAGGACAGAGGUUGGGCCAGAGCUUUGUAUGCUUGUUACCUAAGGAUGGUUCUGACCAUGUAAGCAGAUCACAGAAGCUAUUCACAGAUCAUCAUCAGCCAGAGGUGACUUCUGUUGCUUGCAGCUCAGAAUCCUAGAUGUUUCUGGUGGCACUGAAGAGCCUCUGCUGAAGCUCUAUACCAUUUGCCAUUUACAAAGGGAAAUGAAAUAAUAACGCUGACCAUUUGUGGAGCACAUUCUGUCUGGAGGCAAAGGAUGCCAAGAUGGGAAAGCCACAUAAUGGAAGGAUCCUGGAUUUCAGAGCUGUCACUUGGAGGAGGGGCACCCAGUGAAGGUGUCUUAUCUAACCCACACCAUAUCUUCAUGAAGUGGCCAUAUGGAUUUGAUCCCUAUCCUUCAGAGGUGCUCAGCCUAAGGGAACACGGAUAGUAGAUUAAGCACUGACCAGGCUCGAGUUUGUACAUUCCAACUUGUUGUUUGGGCCUUGUUGGACAUAACUGAAGUCUGGAUGGCAGGGUGAAAAUUGGAUAAACAGCCACACUGACUCAGGGGAGAUUUUUUUUUAAUGCAAACAUCUGUUUCUUGAAUUUGGCCAUGGUAAGACCUAAGGGAAGGGGGAAUACCAGUUGAUGAAAUAAGAUCAAGAAGAUACUGCCUCAUUUUUUCUUCUGUUUCAGGGGUAUAAAUCCUGCCUUCUCUCAGCCUUACAGAGGAAGAAAACCCUUUCCAAGUUUCCUGUGAUAUUGGGUUUAUGCCCAAUUCUAGUUUAGGCAUGAAGAAACUGAAGCAUGGAGGAAAAACUAAGCAACUAGCCCAACGUCACACAGGCAAGCCAGCCUUGACAAUGUGCUGUUGGCAACCU
rnacentral:antisense_RNA from 1 species